UAAGACGUAGGGCGCGAGCGUUGUCCGGAUUUAUUGGGCGUAAAGAGCUCGUAGGCGGCUUGUUGCGUCGACUGUGAAAACCUGCGGCUCAACCGUGUGGUCUGCAGUCGAUACGGGCAGGCUGGAGUUCGGUAGGGGAGACUGGAAUUCCUGGUGUAGCGGUGAAAUGCGCAGAUAUCAGGAGGAACACCGGUGGCGAAGGCGGGUCUCUGGGCCGAUACUGACGCUGAGGAGCGAAAGCGUGGGGAGCGAACAGGAUUAGAUACCCUGGUAGUCCACGCUGUAAACGUUGGGCGCUAGGUGUGGGGGGCCUCUCCGGUUCCCUGUGCCGCAGCUAACGCAUUAAGCGCCCCGCCUGGGGAGUACGGCCGCAAGGCUA
rnacentral:rRNA from 1 species